rnacentral:sRNA from 1 species
AUUUCCCGAGGCUUUGAUUCCUGUUCAGCUGCUCUGGGUCAAUCUGGUGACAGAUGGCCUGCCUGCCACUGCACUGGGGUUCAACCCUCCUGAUCUGGACAUCAUGAAUAAACCUCCCCGGAACCCAAAGGAACCAUUGAUCAGCGGGUGGCUCUUUUUCCGUUACUUGGCUAUUGGCUGUUACGUCGGCGCUGCUACCGUGGGUGCUGCUGCAUGGUGGUUCAUUGCUGCUGACGGUGGUCCAAGAGUGUCCUUCUACCAGCUGGUACUCAGUCACCUUUCUUUCUGUACCUUACAUGAGAAGUGUUGUGAGGCCUUGACCUUUCUGUGGUUUCGGUAUCUAUCAAAUCAUCUUAAGACUCAAACGAUAAACAGUUACAUCUAAGAUGAUUCUGAAGGACCAGGGCUUCUCCGAGAAAUUGGGGUAAACCUCUUGGCUGGCUCUGCAUUCAGGCUGGUCUGUGCUAGGCUUGGUAUGGGGUUGGAGCCUGGACUUGGGAAAUAUACUGGGCUGAUAGGAAUUUGAUUGGAUUUUCUUGCA